rnacentral:rRNA from 1 species
UACGUAGGUGGCAAGCGUUGUCCGGAAUUAUUGGGCGUAAAGCGCGCGCAGGUGGUUUCUUAAGUCUGAUGUGAAAGCCCACGGCUCAACCGUGGAGGGUCAUUGGAAACUGGGGAACUUGAGUGCAGAAGAGGAAAGUGGAAUUCCAAGUGUAGCGGUGAAAUGCGUAGAGAUUUGGAGGAACACCAGUGGCGAAGGCGACUUUCUGGUCUGUAACUGACACUGAGGCGCGAAAGCUAGGGGAGCAAACGGG